rnacentral:rRNA from 1 species
GUUGUCGCUGGCGGCAUGCCUUACACAUGCAAGUCGUAACAAGGUAACCGUAAGGAUGCUGACGAGUGGCGAACGGGUGAGUAAUACAUCGGAACGUGCCCGAUCGUGGGGGAUAACGAGGCGAAAGCUUUGCUAAUACCGCAUACGAUCUACGGAUGAAAGCGGGGGAUCUUCGGACCUCGCGCGGACGGAGCGGCCGAUGGCAGAUUAGGUAGUUGGUGGGAUAAAAGCUUACCAAGCCGACGAUCUGUAGCUGGUCUGAGAGGAUGAUCAGCCACACUGGGACUGAGACACGGCCCAGACUCCUACGGGAGGCAGCAGUGGGGAAUUUUGGACAAUGGGCGAAAGCCUGAUCCAGCCAUGCCGCGUGCAGGAUGAAGGCCUUCGGGUUGUAAACUGCUUUUGUACGGAACGAAAAGCCUCUUUCUAAUAAAGAGGGGUCAUGACGGUACCGUAAGAAUAAGCACCGGCUAACUACGUGCCAGCAGCCGCGGUAAUACGUAGGGUGCAAGCGUUAAUCGGAAUUACUGGGCGUAAAGCGUGCGCAGGCGGUUUUGUAAGACAGAGGUGAAAUCCCCGGGCUCAACCUGGGAACUGCCUUUGUGACUGCAAGGCUGGAGUGCGGCAGAGGGGGAUGGAAUUCCGCGUGUAGCAGUGAAAUGCGUAGAUAUGCGGAGGAACACCGAUGGC